rnacentral:rRNA from 1 species
AGAGUUUGAUCAUGGCUCAGAUUGAACGCUGGCGGAAUGCUUUACACAUGCAAGUCGAACGGCAGCACGGACUUCGGUCUGGUGGCGAGUGGCGAACGGGUGAGUAACAUAUCGGAACGUAUCCAAUAAUGGGGGAUAACUAAUCGAAAGGUUGGCUAAUACCGCAUACGCCCUACGGGGGAAAGCUAGGGACCUUCGGGCCUGGCGUUAAUGGAGCGGCCGAUAUCUGAUUAGCUAGUUGGUGGGGUAAAGGCCCACCAAGGCGACGAUCAGUAGCUGGUCUGAGAGGACGACCAGCCACACUGGAACUGAGACACGGUCCAGACUCCUACGGGAGGCAGCAGUGGGGAAUUUUGGACAAUGGGCGCAAGCCUGAUCCAGCCAUGCCGCGUGAGUGAAGAAGGCCUUCGGGUUGUAAAGCUCUUUCAGCCGGGAAGAAAACGCAUGGGUUAAUACCCUGUGUGGAUGACGGUACCGGAAUAAGAAGCACCGGCUAACUACGUGCCAGCAGCCGCGGUAAUACGUAGGGUGCGAGCGUUAAUCGGAAUUACUGGGCGUAAAGCGUGCGCAGGCGGUUUGUUAAGAUAGGCGUGAAAUCCCCGGGCUCAACCUGGGAACUGCGUUUAUGACUGGCAGGCUAGAGUAUGGCAGAGGGGGGUGGAAUUCCACGUGUAGCAGUGAAAUGCGUAGAGAUGUGGAGGAACACCGAUGGCGAAGGCAGCCCCCUGGGCCAAUACUGACGCUCAUGCACGAAAGCGUGGGUAGCAAACAGGAUUAGAUACCCUGGUAGUCC